UGAUCGUAUGGGCGCAGCCUGAUCCAGCAUGCCGCGUGAGUGAAGAAGGCCUUCGGGUUGUAAAGCUCUUUUGUCAGGGAAGAAACGGCUCCGGCUAAUAUCUGGGGCUAAUGACGGUACCUGAAGAAUAAGCACCGGCUAACUACGUGCCAGCAGCCGCGGUAAUACGUAGGGUGCAAGCGUUAAUCGGAAUUACUGGGCGUAAAGCGUGCGCAGGCGGUUUUGUAAGUCUGACGUGAAAGCCCCGGGCUCAACCUGGGAAUUGCGUUGGAGACUGCAAGGCUUGAAUCUGGCAGAGGGGGGUAGAAUUCCACGUGUAGCAGUGAAAUGCGUAGAGAUGUGGAGGAACACCGAUGGCGAAGGCAGCCCCCUGGGUCAAGAUUGACGCUCAUGCACGAAAGCGUGGGGAGCAAACAGGAUUAGAUACCCUGGUAGUCCACGCCCUAAACGAUGUCUACUAGUUGUCGGGUUUUAAUUAACUUGGUAACGCAGCUAACGCGUGAAGUAGACCGCCUGGGGAGUACGGUCGCAAGAUUAAAACUCAAAUGAAAUUGACGG
rnacentral:rRNA from 1 species